rnacentral:lncRNA from 1 species
UUUUCAUCUAGUAACCUCAUUAAUAGUCUUCCAAGAUUGAAGAUAAAGUGUCUUAAAUUGUAGAUAACAAUUUAAUUUUCCAGAUAGAUCUUUGCUUAGCCUGGUAUCUUUAAUGACAGUCGUGUUAAGUACUAACUUCCAAGAUAAUACUUUAUAUAGUUCAAGUGAGAUUAAGUUAAGGUUGAGGUAGAUCAGAGUUAGGCUAGUUCAGAGUCAGAUUUAGAGUUGGGUUAGACCCACACUGUUUAUGUUUGUUUUGAAAUAUUUAUAAUUAGGGUUGCAGCUAGAAAAAAACACACGAAGUGAAAACGAUGUCGGUAUCUACAUGCGCGAUUGAGAAGUUUCUGUUACCCUUGGGUCACGCGAUAUCUCCGGUACAGUUAUACCGGUUUUACGCGGCCACGUUGGACGAUUAAAGAAAAAUGGAAGGAAAAAAUUCCUCCGAGGCGGAGUGGAUAAAUGAAUACCCCUGAAGAUUGCCGGAGUUAUCGCGUUCAAAUUGUCGCACUUACCUUGAAAUAUCUAUUACACCUGUCGCUGAUGUAUUCUCAUUAUACCGUAAAUGAUAGUCUCCCCGUAGCUUCUGACAUAACGGAAGUAAUCGUUUAUAUAGCGUUGCCCGUUGUCAUGUUAUUCUCGCGUGAAUCAUAAUUACUAGAUCAGCUCCGGUAUUCCGAUGCCUCGAUGAAAGAGCAAUCUUUUACGAGCAGCACGAGUUUACAAUUCAUAUAAAGUGUAACAGGCGCAGAGAUUAUACCGGUUUACGCGUACCAUUGCCACGUGGAUUACCGGUGAUCUACAGCCUCUGCCGGAAGCACCGCGUUAAUUAUAUUAAGCUAAACAAAUAUCGGUAAUUACGUUUGUAAAGUAUCAUGCAAUUAGUCAUAGAAGUUAGGAACGUUGUACUUCUGUAUUUAUUAGUAGUUCUGGUAAUUAUUAAUAAUGGAAUUGCAUUUGUAUUUUGAAACAGCAGAAGUGUAAAAUGUACUAGCAAUUAUUUUAUAUCAAGCUUCUGCCGUGUUUUGAUUUUUAUGUGGCAUGAAAAACACGUUCAAUAAUCUCACGUUAACGCUUUCUUCGACUCCCGUUAAGACACCAAACAAUUUCACUCUGUGCUCGAGCUAAACCAAUAUCGCUGAACGAUAGUCGUACGGUUUCAUUACAGCCGUUACAGGUAGUUGCGGUAAAUCUUGAGAUUGAUACGGUUCAACGGGUAUUAUCCUCUUGCCAUUGUCGACAACGUAUCAUUUUGUUACUUUUUUGUGACUGUUGUAAUCCAAUUUACAACAUGCAAAUCAUUUUGAUACUAUGUACUAGAUACUUUAGGUCAGGGAAUCUUUUAAUGUGAAAUCAAGGACAAGUAUUUUAUAAUUUAGAUCCUUCACAUAAAUUUUAAAACUAGACUCUCUGUAUCAAUUUAUAAAUCAUCAAAGGGAUGCUGCUUUGUUUUUAAAAUGUAUUCUUCUGUAAAUUUUGAAACAAUAUGCGCGUAGUCAGUAGAAGUCUGAUCCUUAAGAUCACAGUAUCGAUUUUCCAACUGAAAAGUGUGCCACCAUGAGUACUCUCUACAUGACGUUCUGCGGCGCGUUCUGCAGCUUUCUCUCCACGAAGUGGACACUGCACAUAACAAGAAAGAAACUCACCUUCUAAUUAGACUAUCAUCUUAUAUUCUGCAGACGUAUCUCUUCUAAUCGAUCGAAUACUGGUUUCUUAAUUGCUUUGUAAUUAACAUAUGAGAAAUUGUGAGAGAUUAGAAAAUCUCUUUGAUCGAUAACAGUAAGACAUCUCUAUAAAUUUGUAGACUCAGUAGUCUCGCAAAAAUUGAAAUGGAUAAAAAACUUUGCUUAUGCCAAAUGAGUUUAUCCAAGCAGCGUUGAAUUACACCGAUACAGUUAAUUUUUCUGAGCAAACAGUCGUUCGACUUUUAUCAAACAUAAUAAAUGACUAGUUCCUUGUUAUUAAAAUUGUACGUUGUAAUAUUAUCUUGGAAGGUAGAAUAAUUGAUGUACCACUUAAAGUGUUAAAUAUUUAACGACGCUCUAAUCUAAUCUCUUCGUGGCUAAUUCAAAUAUAACACGAUUAUUCUUUCUGUAAUCGCAUAGAACAUUAAACGAGAGUAUUCUAAUCUCUCGCAGUAUAUUUUCAAAGAAAAUGUGUAUGUAAUUUUUGAACAUUUAUAGAAGCACGCGUAACUGUUGUGCAGGUGUCCGAAUAUUGUACUUCGUAAUAAGCGAGACUGCAGGUGAAACGCUCAACGAAGCGCAAAAUUGUAUCUUCUUCGGUGUAGAAUAACGUUGACCAGGGUUCUUAAACUCGUUUGAGCCUCCACUGUUGUCUACUGUUGUGCAUAAUUUCUUUGAAGUCGCGCGCCUCUUUCAAAAUCUGUCUAGACUGGUUGUCUCUUUCAUCGAGUCGAUCAGAAGGGAUCGAGAACAAAAUAAACAUCCACGCCCACGCUCACCUGCGCGUAAAAGUUUUUUUGUGGAGAUUGCAUCACAGGUAGAAAAAUGGCUUUCAGCCGUCCUAGGGUCAGGUUGAAUUGACCCGCGUUUGUUCCCUCGGAGCUGUUGAGUACCUGCUGCUCAAGCACAAUGGUCUUUUCUCUUUUUCUCGUCAAAGGAAUUUUUAAAUUCCUACGCGGCAGAUUACCACGCGUUACAUCAAUUUCAAGGAUUUCUGCUCUGUACGAUGAAAGUCUGGGACGUGAAAAUAGAGCAAAAUACCCAGGAAAUAUUUAGCUGUUGGAGCAGCAGUAAUUAUCUCCCUUUAUGAAGUUAAGUAAUUACGUCGAUGCAAUUACGCGACGAAUUAACUACUGUAUCGAAAAUCCAAACCCUAGCGAGAAGUCGAGGGGUCAGUGUCCGAGGUUCGCGGAUACGACACGUGCUGUUGCACGUGUCUUGUUCGGUAUUGCUGACGCUUUUCAUAUGCAUACACUAGGCCCGAAAGAAUAAACGCAUCCGUGCGUACAUAUCCGGCGUAGCAUUGUUCGUAAUCCAAUUUGUUGCUACAUCCAUCACAUUGUACAUGAAAUUGCUCACAUUAAUCGCGUACAAUUUGCACGAAGUCUAAGGUUGUAUUCCAUAAUUCCACUUGGCCGUUUCAAGGAGUAAUUUCAAGUCCUUUUAAA